GAACGCUGGCGGCAGGCCUAACACAUGCAAGUCGAGCGGAUGAAGGGAGCUUGCUCCUGGAUUCAGCGGCGGACGGGUGAGUAAUGCCUAGGAAUCUGCCUGGUAGUGGGGGAUAGCGUCCGGAAACGGGCGCUAAUACCGCAUACGUCCUGAGGGAGAAAGUGGGGGAUCUUCGGACCUCACGCUAUCAGAUGAGCCUAGGUCGGAUUAGCUAGUUGGUGGGGUAAAGGCCUACCAAGGCGACGAUCCGUAACUGGUCUGAGAGGAUGAUCAGUCACACUGGAACUGAGACACGGUCCAGACUCCUACGGGAGGCAGCAGUGGGGAAUAUUGGACAAUGGGCGAAAGCCUGAUCCAGCCAUGCCGCGUGUGUGAAGAAGGUCUUCGGAUUGUAAAGCACUUUAAGUUGGGAGGAAGGGCAGUAAGUUAAUACCUUGCUGUUUUGACGUUACCAACAGAAUAAGCACCGGCUAACUUCGUG
rnacentral:rRNA from 1 species